UACGUAGGGUGCGAGCGUUAAUCGGAAUUACUGGGCGUAAAGCGUGCGCAGGCGGUUUUGUAAGUCAGAUGUGAAAUCCCCGGGCUUAACCUGGGAACUGCGUUUGAAACUACAAGGCUAGAGUGUGGCAGAGGGGGGUAGAAUUCCACGUGUAGCAGUGAAAUGCGUAGAGAUGUGGAGGAAUACCGAUGGCGAAGGCAGCCCCCUGGGAUGAUACUGACGCUCAUGCACGAAAGCGUGGGGAGCAAACAGG
rnacentral:rRNA from 1 species